CUCUUUCCGUUCCCCACUUCAUCUCUCCCAGGUCUAAACUUCUCGAGCUCCCUGUUCCGGCGAAAUGUGUGCCUCGUCAUCGACCUACCAGUCACUCGUGCCCACACUGCCACCCACUUGUUGCCGCCCCUCCGGACGAAGCUCCGCUGCCAUAUCACCUCCAGCCGGCGACGGAUUCAACCUCCUACGCCGCACAGGAACAUCGAUGGAUUCGGGUGCGAGCCGGUCACUGCAGAUCCGGCAUGGGCUGAGACUUUGGGGAUGAAGCAGAAGUACGCAACGCUAGCCGCUGGGGUAGCGACUGCCUGUGGCGGCGAGAAGCGAGCAGCAGCUGCAGUACGCGGAGCUGGGGCAGGGGCAGGCCAUGUCGUCGAGCAGUGGCAGCCCGUGGCGUCAGCGAGCAGCAGGAAAUAGGUGGCACAGACAAGAUGGGGAGCAGUAAAUCCAUGCCGCCAACUCUCAACGUCCUCCUCAUCCCGAGGAUCCUCAAUCUAGCGCCGUUCUGUACCUCUUCCUGAAUCUCAACUGAACCUGUAAAUAAGAUCUCUGUAGUUAGCCUACUUCUUUUUUUUUUGCGAAAAAUCACCUGGUUAAUUGUUACCUGCCCUUCGAUCCAGGAAGUUCAUGUGAAAAUUAAAAAGUUCCAGGAAGUUUAGGUUUA